CUGGCGGCGUGCCUAAUACAUGCAAGUCGAACGGUCUUUUCUAUGGAAGCUUGCUUCCACUGAGAAGAUAGUGGCGAACGGGUGAGUAACACGUGGGUAACCUGCCCAUAAGAGGGGGAUAACAUCCGGAAACGGGUGCUAAUACCGCAUAGUUUUUCUUGAUCGCAUGAUCGGGAAAGGAAAGACGGCCUUUGUGCUGUCGCUUAUGGAUGGACCCGCGGCGUAUUAGUUAGUUGGUGAGGUAACGGCUCACCAAGACGAUGAUACGUAGCCGACCUGAGAGGGUGAUCGGCCACAUUGGGACUGAGACACGGCCCAAACUCCUACGGGAGGCAGCAGUAGGGAAUCUUCCGCAAUGGACGAAGUCUGACGGAGCAACGCCGCGUGAGUGAAGAAGGUUUUUCCGGAUCGUAAAACUCUGUUGUCAGAGAAGAACAAGUUGGAGAGUAACUGCUCCAGCCUUGACGGUAUCUGACCAGAAAGCCACGGCUAACUACGUGCCAGCCGCAGC
rnacentral:rRNA from 1 species